GCGACUCCUCUCUCCCUGUUUCUUUCCGCACUUCCUUCUUUUAUGUUUGAAAUUGGUUCUACUUUGAAACCACCGAAACCUCCAUAUCCGACGCACUGUCAAAAUCUCCCCCUCUUCCUGGAUUGAUUCGUGGAUUUGUUAACUUGAAUGGAAGUCAAACUGUUUGAGUUUCAUUGGAGAAUAUACUGAUAUUUUUGUUCCUUUUAUUUUUUGUAUGGCUUCGAGUGGAUAUAGAAAUGGCGCUCACAGGGGAAGUAGUAGCACGAAGCUGGAUCGGCCACUCCCAGCAGCGAACCUCAAAUCUUCCUCGUUUAAAUCCAGGUUUACUCCUUCUCACUCUUCGGGAUCCGCUCUUCGCCGCAGUAGCCCCGCCUCUUUCUCCACCAACGACGGAGUACCUGGAAGAGUUCGAGUGGCUGUAAGACUGCGACCACAGAAUGUGGAAGAAUUAGCUGCAGAUGCAGAUUUUGCUGAUUGUGUGGAGUUGCAGCCAGAGCUAAAAAGGUUGAAACUUCGGAAAAACAAUUGGGAUUCAGACACUUACGAAUUUGAUGAGGUUCUCACUGAAUUUGCAUCCCAGAAGCGUGUCUAUGAAGUUGUUGCCAAGCCUGUUGUAGAGAGUGUUUUAGAUGGUUACAAUGGGACUGUGAUGGCCUACGGUCAGACUGGUACUGGGAAAACUUUUACUCUUGGACGACUGGGAGAGGAAGAUACAUCUGAUCGUGGAAUCAUGGUUCGUUCAAUGGAGGAUAUUUUAGCAGACAUUUCUCCCGAGACCGAUUCUGUCUCUGUUUCAUAUUUGCAGCUUUACAUGGAAACUCUGCAAGACCUGCUUGAUCCAUCAAAUGAUAACAUUCCUAUUGUGGAAGAUCCAAAAACUGGUGAUGUUUCAGUACCUGGGGCAACUCUUGUUGAAAUCAGGGAUCAGCAGAGUUUUGUGGAGCUGCUAAGAAUAGGAGAGACUCACAGAAUUGCUGCUAACACAAAAUUGAAUACUGAAUCCUCUCGUAGUCAUGCUAUUCUGAUGGUACAUGUUCGAAGGUCUGUCAUAGGAAGAGAAGAAAUCAUUUCCAGUGAAAAUGGUGACUCCUCUCACUUGGUCAAACCUUUUAAACCACUUGUUCGGAAAAGCAAGCUAGUUGUGGUAGAUCUGGCAGGGUCAGAGCGAAUUCACAAGUCAGGGAGUGAGGGUCAUAUGCUAGAGGAAGCAAAGUCUAUCAACCUCUCUCUUAGUGCAUUGGGAAAGUGCAUAAAUGCUUUAGCAGAGAAUAGUGCUCAUGUUCCAAUUCGUGAUUCAAAGCUUACAAGGUUGCUCAGAGAUUCGUUUGGAGGCACAGCGAGGACGUCAUUAAUCGUGACUAUUGGCCCAUCCCCACGACAUCGAGGAGAGACUGCGAGUACCAUACUAUUUGGACAAAGGGCUAUGAAGGUGGAGAACAUGUUGAAAAUAAAGGAGGAAUUUGAUUACAAGAGUCUGUCUAGGAGGCUUGAAGUACAACUGGACAAGCUCAUUGCAGAAAAUGAAAGGCAGCAGAAAGCUUUUGAGGAUGAAGCUGAAAGAAUAAAUAUAGAGGCACAAAACCGAAUAUCUGAAGUCGAGAGGAGCUUUGCUGAUGCAUUAGAGAAGGAGAGGCUAAAAUGCCAGAUGGAUUAUAUGGAAUCAGUCAAGCAGCUGGAGGAGAAGUUGGUGUUGAAUCAGCAAAAGCAUGAUUGUGAUGGCUUCAUGGAAGAUAAAUGUAUUGGGCAGGAGACAGGGCUUUCUGCUGCUGAGGAUGUUGCUGAGAUAAAAAAAUUGCUUGAAAAGGAAAUUAAACUAAGAAAGGCAGCUGAAGAAGAGGUAAAGAAUUGUAAAAGGCAACAAGGACAAGAUAUGCAGUCAGAGGCAGGUGGAGAUCCAGAGGUUUUGAAGCUUCGCAAAAUUCUUGAGGACGAGGCUCAUCAGAAGAAGAAACUUGAAGAAGAAAUAAUAAUACUACGAAGUCAGCUGUUGCAAUUGACUUUUGAAGCUGAUCAGAUGAAAAUGUAUCUUGAAAGAGGUGGGUCUGGAAAUGGGUUUGCUGGUCUAGAUUCUUCCAUGUCUCCAUUUAGGCAUCCCCAAUACAGAGACUCUGGAAAUGGACAGAAGGCAUCAAUUGCAACACUCUUUGAGCAAGUUGGAUUGCAAAAGAUCUUGGCGCUACUCGAGUCAGAUGAUGCCAACGUACGGAUUCAUGCCGUAAAAGUGGUGGCCAACCUAGCAGCUGAAGAGGCAAACCAGAAAAAGAUUGUUGAAGCUGGGGGUCUUUCUUCCUUGCUGGUGCUUCUUAGAAGCUUUGAGGAUGAAACUGUUCGAAGAGUAGCAGCUGGUGCAAUUGCCAAUCUUGCAAUGAAUGAAGCCAAUCAAGAACUUAUAAUGAUUCAAGGGGGAAUUAGUCUUUUAUCAAUAACAGCAGCUGAUGCUGAGGAUCCUCAAACCUUACGCAUGGUUGCAGGAGCUAUUGCUAAUCUAUGUGGCAACGAUAAGCUACGGAUGAAGCUGAAGACUGAAGGUGGUAUUAAGGCCUUGCUAGGAAUUGUGAGAUGUGAACAUCCUGAUGUUCUAUCUCAAGUUGCACGUGGAAUUGCUAACUUUGCAAAAUGCGAGUCCCGAGCAUCUACCCAAGGGAUAUAUAGCGCCAGAUCUCUUUUGAUAGAAGACGGUGCGCUUCCAUGGAUUGUACAAAAUGCUAAUAAUGAAGCUGCACCAAUCAGGCGUCAUGUUGAACUUGCACUCUGCCACUUGGCACAGCAUGAAGUAAAUGCAAAGGACAUGAUUAGUGGAGGUGCCCUCUGGGAGCUAGUUCGUAUCUCACGCGAUUGCUCUCGAGAGGACAUAAGGAGUCUUGCCCUUAGGAUAUUGAGUUCGAGCCCCACCUUUCGAUCUGAAUUGCGUCGGUUACGGAUAGAUUAUUGAUUCCGAGAUUAAUGGGCUUCCAUUAAUUAAUGCUGCUCGCAUCUUAGCUAGCGAGUGUGAGCUAGGAUGCAGAAACUUUAUUUCAUAAUGAGCAUAUAGGCUUGGUAGAGGAGGGGAUCUCUCUCUUGCUGCACAAGGGGUCAUCCCAUAAGCUGGUAUUCACGCCAAUUUUGUGUAAAGGUUUACUGUGAUGGUUUACAAAUUGCUGCUACAUGUAAGUUUGAAGAUGACAACCUCUAAAUAAAAAAGAACUUAUCCGUCGCUACUCAUGACCGCCACAAUGGGUAGAUGACAAAGACGGUCAUGUAGAGCUGCCGCAAUAGGUGGGGAAGUUGCGUCAAUGCUACCUCUUGAAAACUCAUUUUUUAUUUAUUUAUAAUUUGUUGAUCAAAUAGUACUUCUCCGUAAGAUUAUUCUUAUUCUUCUUAUGAUAUAUUAUUCUCUAUCA